ensembl:lncRNA
CUACACUCUGUUCUUUUUUCUUUAAAUCAAAGAGAAUGAAAACAUUUUAAGUGUUGGAUUGGAGUUCCCCCACUGUUUUUUUUUUUUAUAUCUUCUGAUGUCAAAUCACCUGAGAUCUUUGACUUUUCACUGGAUGUUGUUUAACUUUCUUGCACAUGCUCAGAUGGCAGGUGAUCACGAAUAACUGUGCUUUUGUUCAGCUGCAAUGAGCUACAGUACAUGUUACUGUAUGAAUGGAAAAGUACUAUGGUAGUCAAUGACUACUGUUAACAGUUUGAUUACUAAAACUGAUCAGAAUGUCUUCUUUGGUGUUCAACAGCUAAAAACAAAACCCUCAUAAAGGUUUGGAACGAGUGUAGGGUUUGUGAAGACUGAAGACUGGUGCUGAGGUGAUAAACCAAAGCCAGGCCUGCCUUGUUAUUACAUUACCAGCUAAAAACAAAACCCUCAUAAAGGUUUGGAACGAGUGUAGGGUUUGUGAAGAUUGAAGACUGGUGCUGAGGUGAUAAACCAAAGCCAGGCCUGCCUCGUUAUUACAUUAUCAGAGGCAGAUGAUCGAGCUCAUUACGAGAGUGAACUACACAUGGAAAGAGAAGCCUUAUGUUUAUGAGUUGAAAGUGAAUGCUGAUGACUCUCCCGCCAUCCAUCUGCUGCUGUUCAGUCAUUUGACUCUUCAUGCUCAUUCCGUGCUGUACUUGCAGACAUCAAAAACGCUGACUGUACAACCCAUAUCUAUCACAUCUCAAACCUGACUCACAAAACAACACCGUCAGAGUUGUCUAUCACUUCAUAUUUUAAAACUCUUUUAGGCAAUCAAGCAGUACGACCAUGUUAAUAUUUAAAUAUAAACUUGUUUUAAUGCUUCUGCAGUGUAGCCUACCGAAAAUAAUGCAAUAAAAUUCUAAAGAAAAGUCUAAAUAAAGUGAGUUUUGUGAAAGGAACACAUCAAUUUGC